UACGUAGGGUGCGAGCGUUAAUCGGAAUUACUGGGCGUAAAGGGUGCGCAGGCGGUUAUAUAAGACAGAUGUGAAAUCCCCGGGCUCAACCUGGGAACUGCGUUUGUGACUGUAUGACUAGAGUACGGUAGAGAGGGGUGGAAUUCCUGGUGUAGCAGUGAAAUGCGUAGAUAUCAGGAGGAACACCGGUGGCGAAGGCGGGUCUCUGGGCCGUAACUGACGCUGAGGAGCGAAAGCGUGGGGAGCGAACAGG
rnacentral:rRNA from 1 species